UUUAAACUAGGUUCAAAAUUGACGUAACUUUUAAGUUAUGAAACUCGAUAUCCUUUUAAUUAAAGUUUUUCCCCAAAACAUUCUACUCAACUACGGAAAUUUAGAAUAAACUUGACCACCACUGGAUGAUUUCAGUUCCAAUUAUCCAAUCAUAUAGGUUUUUAAAAACCCUGGAGCCAUGCCCUAAUUAACCUGACAUUCGCUAUGGAAUUACAAUCAAGUUAUCGCAAAUAGUUGCGUUUUCCAUCGAAAAUGUCGAAUUCUACCUGCACCUGGGAAACAUUCACAGAAAAAUGAUCUCCAAAACAACCCAAAGCCUGACUAAACUGCUGCUACGGAUGUCUUCUUUACUAUCCUGCGUUCCGUGGGAGGAUGGCGGUGGGGCUGACAAAGUCAUGUUAGUUGGGCGAAAAUCUUUGUUGAAAUUUUACUUCAAUUCAUCCGUUUUCAUUGCGUACAAUAUAUACGUCGUUUUUCAAUUCCCCGCCACUUGCAAGGAGAAACACAGUCUAGCCUUCCUGCGUGGUAUCAUGCACUUUAUAGGAGUGUCGGUAAUUGUACUAUCCUCAUUGGUGGGUUGCAUACAAUUUAUGCUGUCAGGAGACGAAAUAAUGGGGCAAUUUAACGAUGCGUUUUCGUACCAUCAAAGUUUUGCAGCCCAGUUUUGCAGAAGAGAUAUCUUGAAAAGUGGAGGAUUUAAUUGCGGAUUCGAACCAUGGAUGAAAAUGUUUAUCUAUGGAUCACCGAUUACAUCUUUGGUCGGGUUGCCAAUUUUUGCAAUGCGCAUCCCCGAUCUUAAAGUAUUUCUCAGUUCGAUGUUUUUAUCUUAUCUGAAUAGUGGUGGUUUUUUAGCGAAUUUGCUCUUUCUUGUCUUGACUGGUGUACAUACUUGGAUUUACACUUGUGCCGUGGUAAUGAUCAUAAACUCGAGUAUGUUGUUGAUUCCGCAAUUAUGUCAAAUGAGCGUGGUCCUGCGAGAAAUCAGGUACUUAUACAAAUCUGUUAAAAAAUCCGUCACUGGUUUGCAUAUUUUUAUACAUUCGCGAAAUUAAGCAUUAUUGUUUGGAAGCAUUAGAUUUUGCCAAAAUUGACACUGUAAGAUUUAUGCAAAUAAGGUGAUAUUCAAAAUGUAAUGCACAAUUAUGAAACUUAUUUUUUUAAAGAUUUUUAAAAUUAAUUUAUCAUACUACUUUCAGACCUGGAAAUGUAUCUUCAAAAUUGACAAUUUCAGCCACCCGUAAGCCAGAAAAUGCUCUCAAGACGCUUCGAGUCAUCCAAUUGUUGCAACAAAGGUUAAACAAUUUAACCAAAGGGAACACAAUUCCAACCACGUUCACAAUUAACGUAAUUAUGGUAGUGUGCUGUAAUUGCACCAUUAUUAUAAUGACACAUCUGACCAGCUUCGAUAUCGUGACUUUUCUCGUCACAAAAAUCCUAGUCGCGGCGACUUCAUUAUUUUGUACGAUAUUCUUAAUUACUGCUUCUAACAUUAGUGCCAAAAUUCUGACGGAAUACACUCGAGCAACGCGAUUGUGGAAGAAUCAACGGAUUUCUGCACAUUUGAAAAAGAUGCUGAAGUCGGCAAGACCAAGUGGGGUGAAAAUAUCGAAAUUCUUUACGGUUCAGCGGAUAACAACGGUGCAGAUUGUAAUGGCAAUUUUGAGAUAU